GUCUACCGCCAUACCACCCUGAAUGAACCCGAUCUUGUCUGAUCUCAGAAGCUAAGCAGGGUCAGACCCUGUUAGUUCUUGGAUGGGAGAUGGGGCCACCCAGAUA
rfam:Homo sapiens chromosome 19, GRCh38 reference primary assembly.